rnacentral:rRNA from 1 species
GAUGAACGCUGGCGGCGUGCCUAAUACAUGCAAGUCGAGCGAACAGAUGAGAAGCUUGCUUCUCUGAUGUUAGCGGCGGACGGGUGAGUAACACGUGGGUAACCUACCUAUAAGACUGGGAUAACUCCGGGAAACCGGGGCUAAUACCGGAUAAUAUUUUGAACCGCAUGGUUCAAUAGUGAAAGACGGUUUCGGCUGUCACUUAUAGAUGGACCCGCGCCGUAUUAGCUAGUUGGUAAGGUAACGGCUUACCAAGGCGACGAUACGUAGCCGACCUGAGAGGGUGACCGGCCACACUGGAACUGAGACACGGUCCAGACUCCUACGGGAGGCAGCAGUAGGGAAUCUUCCGCAAUGGGCGAAAGCCUGACGGAGCAACGCCGCGUGAGUGAUGAAGGUCUUCGGAUCGUAAAACUCUGUUGUUAGGGAAGAACAAAUCUGUUAGUAACUGAACAAGUCUUGACGGUGCCUAACCAGAAAGCCACGGCUAACUACGUGCCAGCCGCCGCGGUAA